AGAACGAACGCUGGCGGCAUGCCUAAUACAUGCAAGUCGAACGAACUCUUCGGAGUUAGUGGCGCACGGGUGCGUAACGCGUGGGAAUCUGCCCCUUGGUUCGGAAUAACAGUUGGAAACGACUGCUAAUACCGGAUGAUGACGAAAGUCCAAAGAUUUAUCGCCAAGGGAUGAGCCCGCGUAGGAUUAGCUAGUUGGUGAGGUAAAGGCUCACCAAGGCAACGAUCCUUAGCUGGUCUGAGAGGAUGAUCAGCCACACUGGGACUGAGACACGGUCCAGACUCCUACGGGAGCAGCAGUAGGGAUAUGGACAAUGGGCGAAAGCCUGAUCCAGCAAUGCCGCGUGAGUGAUGAAGGCCUUAGGUUGUAAAGCUCUUUUACCCGAGAUGAUAAUGACAGUAUCGGAGAAUAAGCCCCGGCUAACGUCCGUGCCAGCAGCCGC
rnacentral:rRNA from 1 species